rnacentral:rRNA from 1 species
AGUGAACGCUGGCGGCAGGCCUAACACAUGCAAGUCGAACCGCAGCACAAGAGAGCUUGCUCUCUGGGUGGCGAGUGGCGGACGGGUGAGGAAUGCAUCGGAAUCUGCCCAUUUGUGGGGGAUAACCUCGGGAAACCGGGACUAAUACCGCAUACGACCUACGGGUGAAAGCAGGGGAUCUUCGGACCUUGCGCAGAUGGAUGAGCCGAUGCCGGAUUAGCUAGUUGGAGGGGUAAAGGCCCACCAAGGCGACGAUCCGUAGCUGGUCUGAGAGGAUGAUCAGCCACACUGGGACUGAGACACGGCCCAGACUCCUACGGGAGGCAGCAGUGGGGAAUAUUGGACAAUGGGCGCAAGCCUGAUCCAGCCAUGCCGCGUGUGUGAAGAAGGCCUUCGGGUUGUAAAGCACUUUUGUUGGGAAAGAAAAGCAGCCGGUUAAUACCCGGUUGUCAUGACGGUACCCAAAGAAUAAGCACCGGCUAACUUCGUG